UUCGCUCAUUUACGCGCGAUUAAGCUUUCCCGCCUAUUACUGUGGAUGUCCAUCUUUGGACCGAGUGGAUCCUGUCCACUCUGUUUUGACGCCUCCCUGUUAUCAACUUAAAAGCCGCCGGAAACGGCGGCUCUUUUUUG
rfam:Rhodopseudomonas palustris CGA009 complete genome; segment 3/16